rnacentral:rRNA from 1 species
GAUGAACGCUGGCGGCGUGCCUAAUACAUGCAAGUCGAGCGAACAGACGAGGAGCUUGCUCCUCUGACGUUAGCGGCGGACGGGUGAGUAACACGUGGAUAACCUACCUAUAAGACUGGGAUAACUUCGGGAAACCGGAGCUAAUACCGGAUAAUAUAUUGAACCGCAUGGUUCAAUAGUGAAAGACGGUUUUGCUGUCACUUAUAGAUGGAUCCGCGCCGCAUUAGCUAGUUGGUAAGGUAACGGCUUACCAAGGCAACGAUGCGUAGCCGACCUGAGAGGGUGAUCGGCCACACUGGAACUGCGACACGGUCCAGACUCCUACGGGAGGGAGCAGUAGGGAAUCGUACGCAAUGGGCGCAAGGCUGACGGAGCAACGCCGCGUGAGGGAUGAUGGUUUUAGGAUCGUAAAACGCUGUUAUUAGGGAAGAACAAAUGUGUAAGUAACUAUGCACGUCUUGACGGAACCAAAUCAGAAAGCUACGGCUAACUACGUG